AGCGUACACGGUGGAUGCCCUGGCAGUCAGAGGCGAUGAAGGACGUGCUAAUCUGCGAUAAGCGUCGGUAAGGUGAUAUGAACCGUUAUAAUCGGCGAUUUCCGAAUGGGGAAACCCAGUGUGUUUCGACACACUAUCAUUAACUGAAUCCAUAGGUUAAUGAGGCGAACCGGGGGAACUGAAACAUCUAAGUACCCCGAGGAAAAGAAAUCAACCGAGAUUCCCCCAGUAGCGGCGAGCGAACGGGGAGCAGCCCAGAGCCUGAAUCAGUGUGUGUGUUAGUGGAAGCGUCUGGAAAGGCGCGCGAUACAGGGUGACAGCCCCGUACACAAAAAUGCACAUGCUGUGAGCUCGAUGAGUAGGGCGGGACACGUGGUAUCCUGUCUGAAUAUGGGGGGACCAUCCUCCAAGGCUAAAUACUCCUGACUGACCGAUAGUGAACCAGUACCGUGAGGGAAAGGCGAAAAGAACCCCGGCGAGGGGAGUGAAAAAGAACCUGAAACCGUGUACGUACAAGCAGUGGGAGCACGCUUAGGCGUGUGACUGCGUACCUUUUGUAUAAUGGGUCAGCGACUUAUAUUCUGUAGCAAGGUUAACCGAAUAGGGGAGCCGAAGGGAAACCGAGUCUUAACUGGGCGUUAAGUUGCAGGGUAUAGACCCGAAACCCGGUGAUCUAGCCAUGGGCAGGUUGAAGGUUGGGUAACACUAACUGGAGGACCGAACCGACUAAUGUUGAAAAAUUAGCGGAUGACUUGUGGCUGGGGGUGAAAGGCCAAUCAAACCGGGAGAUAGCUGGUUCUCCCCGAAAGCUAUUUAGGUAGCGCCUCGUGAAUUCAUCUCCGGGGGUAGAGCACUGUUUCGGCAAGGGGGUCAUCCCGACUUACCAACCCGAUGCAAACUGCGAAUACCGGAGAAUGUUAUCACGGGAGACACACGGCGGGUGCUAACGUCCGUCGUGAAGAGGGAAACAACCCAGACCGCCAGCUAAGGUCCCAAAGUCAUGGUUAAGUGGGAAACGAUGUGGGAAGGCCCAGACAGCCAGGAUGUUGGCUUAGAAGCAGCCAUCAUUUAAAGAAAGCGUAAUAGCUCACUGGUCGAGUCGGCCUGCGCGGAAGAUGUAACGGGGCUAAACCAUGCACCGAAGCUGCGGCAGCGACGCUUAUGCGUUGUUGGGUAGGGGAGCGUUCUGUAAGCCUGCGAAGGUGUGCUGUGAGGCAUGCUGGAGGUAUCAGAAGUGCGAAUGCUGACAUAAGUAACGAUAAAGCGGGUGAAAAGCCCGCUCGCCGGAAGACCAAGGGUUCCUGUCCAACGUUAAUCGGGGCAGGGUGAGUCGACCCCUAAGGCGAGGCCGAAAGGCGUAGUCGAUGGGAAACAGGUUAAUAUUCCUGUACUUGGUGUUACUGCGAAGGGGGGACGGAGAAGGCUAUGUUGGCCGGGCGACGGUUGUCCCGGUUUAAGCGUGUAGGCUGGUUUUCCAGGCAAAUCCGGAAAAUCAAGGCUGAGGCGUGAUGACGAGGCACUACGGUGCUGAAGCAACAAAUGCCCUGCUUCCAGGAAAAGCCUCUAAGCAUCAGGUAACAUCAAAUCGUACCCCAAACCGACACAGGUGGUCAGGUAGAGAAUACCAAGGCGCUUGAGAGAACUCGGGUGAAGGAACUAGGCAAAAUGGUGCCGUAACUUCGGGAGAAGGCACGCUGAUAUGUAGGUGAAGUCCCUCGCGGAUGGAGCUGAAAUCAGUCGAAGAUACCAGCUGGCUGCAACUGUUUAUUAAAAACACAGCACUGUGCAAACACGAAAGUGGACGUAUACGGUGUGACGCCUGCCCGGUGCCGGAAGGUUAAUUGAUGGGGUCAGCGCAAGCGAAGCUCUUGAUCGAAGCCCCGGUAAACGGCGGCCGUAACUAUAACGGUCCUAAGGUAGCGAAAUUCCUUGUCGGGUAAGUUCCGACCUGCACGAAUGGCGUAAUGAUGGCCAGGCUGUCUCCACCCGAGACUCAGUGAAAUUGAACUCGCUGUGAAGAUGCAGUGUACCCGCGGCAAGACGGAAAGACCCCGUGAACCUUUACUAUAGCUUGACACUGAACAUUGAGCCUUGAUGUGUAGGAUAGGUGGGAGGCUUUGAAGUGUGGACGCCAGUCUGCAUGGAGCCGACCUUGAAAUACCACCCUUUAAUGUUUGAUGUUCUAACGUGGACCCGUAAUCCGGGUUGCGGACAGUGUCUGGUGGGUAGUUUGACUGGGGCGGUCUCCUCCUAAAGAGUAACGGAGGAGCACGAAGGUUGGCUAAUCCUGGUCGGACAUCAGGAGGUUAGUGCAAUGGCAUAAGCCAGCUUGACUGCGAGCGUGACGGCGCGAGCAGGUGCGAAAGCAGGUCAUAGUGAUCCGGUGGUUCUGAAUGGAAGGGCCAUCGCUCAACGGAUAAAAGGUACUCCGGGGAUAACAGGCUGAUACCGCCCAAGAGUUCAUAUCGACGGCGGUGUUUGGCACCUCGAUGUCGGCUCAUCACAUCCUGGGGCUGAAGUAGGUCCCAAGGGUAUGGCUGUUCGCCAUUUAAAGUGGUACGCGAGCUGGGUUUAGAACGUCGUGAGACAGUUCGGUCCCUAUCUGCCGUGGGCGCUGGAGAACUGAGGGGGGCUGCUCCUAGUACGAGAGGACCGGAGUGGACGCAUCACUGGUGUUCGGGUUGUCAUGCCAAUGGCACUGCCCGGUAGCUAAAUGCGGAAGAGAUAAGUGCUGAAAGCAUCUAAGCACGAAACUUGCCCCGAGAUGAGUUCUCCCUGACUCCUUGA
rnacentral:rRNA from 1 species